AGCGAACGCUGGCGGCAGGCCUAACACAUGCAAGUCGAACGAAGUCUUCGGACUUAGUGGCGGACGGGUGAGUAACACGUGGGAACGUGCCUUUAGGUUCGGAAUAACUCAGGGAAACUUGUGCUAAUACCGAAUGUGCCCUUCGGGGGAAAGAUUUAUCGCCUUUAGAGCGGCCCGCGUCUGAUUAGCUAGUUGGUGAGGUAAAGGCUCACCAAGGCGACGAUCAGUAGCUGGUCUGAGAGGAUGAUCAGCCACAUUGGGACUGAGACACGGCCCAAACUCCUACGGGAGGCAGCAGUGGGGAAUCUUGCGCAAUGGGCGAAAGCCUGACGCAGCCAUGCCGCGUGAGUGAUGAAGGUCUUAGGAUUGUAAAAUUCUUUCACCGGGGACGAUAAUGACGGUACCCGGAGAGGAAGCCCCGGCUAACUUCGUGCCAGCAGCCGCAGUAACAC
rnacentral:rRNA from 1 species